CGCACCUCUUGCUCGAUGGAAUCAAUUAAGACAAUUUCAGCUUUGGUUGAAGAAGAAAAUAUCCCAGAGGCAAAAAUUGCACUCACUUCUGGAGUGUCAGCCUUUUUAUGGUUAUAUACUUCUAUUCAAGGAUUUAAGCCUGCCACCGUAGUUGUCACUUCUGAUCUUCCACUGGGUUCAGGCCUAGGAUCAUCUGCUGCAUUUUGUGUUGCCCUCUCAGCUGCUCUGCUUGCUUUCUCAGACUCUGUAAAUGUGGACACAAAGCACCUAGGGUGGUCAAUAUUUGGAGAGUCUGACCUUGAAUUAUUAAACAAAUGGGCUCUCGAAGGUGAAAAGAUAAUUCAUGGAAAGCCAUGUGCGCUGACAGUGUUGUCUAUUCCAGAUNUAUGGCAACAUGAUCAAGUUCAAGUCUGGUAAUCUGACUCGCAUCAAGUCCAACAUGCCGCUCAAAAUGCUCGUCACUAACACAAGAGUUGGGAGGAACACAAAAGCACUGGUUGCUGGUGUUUCAGAGAGAACCUUACGGCACCCUAAUGCCAUGAGUUUUGUUUUUAAUGCCGUUGAUUCUAUCAGUAAUGAGCUGGCUAACAUCAUCCAGUCACCUGCUCCAGAUGAUGUGUCCAUAACUGAGAAGGAAGAGAAGCUAGAAGAGUUAAUGGAAAUGAAUCAAGGCUUGCUUCAAUGCAUGGGGGUCAGCCAUGCUUCUAUAGAAACUGUUCUUCGGACAACUUUGAAAUACAAGUUAGCUUCCAAGCUGACUGGAGCAGGGGGUGGGGGGUGCGUGCUGACACUGUUACCAACCCUGCUAUCAGGAACAGUUGUUGACAAAGCAAUUGCUGAAUUGGAGUCAUGCGGAUUUCAAUGUUUGAUUGCUGGAAUCGGUGGGAAUGGUGUUGAGUUUUGCUUUGGUGGUUCAUCCUGAUUAUACCAGGGCACCAAUAAAUUAUAAGAUCUUACAUCACUAGUGUCAAUUCUCAAAUAAUAAGAUAACAAGGUAUGGUGUGGUAAAGCUGAUUUAUUCAUCAGACAUCAUCUGUACGUUAUUUUGUUGUUGUUUUUCUUCCUCGUUUUAGUUUGAGUCAUGUUCAAACUUUCUUUGAAGUUUCUGGGGUAUUUAUCUUCAUUCUUUUCAGCAUUUAUGAGGACUACAAUAAUGUGUAGAAAAUCUGGACAUUUGUUGCUAUU
rnacentral:misc_RNA from 1 species